CUCUGUUUUCCCUUUAGUUCGUAGUUGGAUGUCAACGUUGAGGAAGAAAAAUCUAGUAUCAGUAUUCUGCUCCGCAAUUUUGAUUCCAUCCAUGCUAUCCAUCGAUAAUUUAUCUUAAACUACGGAAAUUCGAUCGGAUUAGAGAAAACCGUAUUUGAUGUCUAUUGUAAGCCGUCUAUUGGCAUGUCUUUAAUUAUUACAAGUGGCCCAUGGUUACAAAGGUUAUUUCACCUAUUAGAGAAUUCAGACUAACCCAAGAGCGCUCAAUAAAAAGUGUAUCCAGUAAAUACACAGCCUUUUCAUGGAAAACUUCGUGCAACCAAAGAUAUUUCUGAAAUAUUUAUUGAUAUCGCAUCAACUCUGGAACCCUUCUCUACUGGAUGAUUGGAAGAACCGUUUUUUCAGCUGCAAAUGGAAUGGAUAUAGUUGGAAGGUCCGAUUUUGAAAUUCUUCGACACAUGGGGCAGGAUUAGCAAAGAGUAAGAUUAAAAGAAAUCUUUUUGCAUCCUAUUGAUGGUCGAAUGGAGAGUAAUAUCUGCUUUUUAGCUAGAAAUCAAGCCUUCAGAAAGAAAAAAAGAUUCAUUUUGAGAAAGUUAUCCAUCUUUUACUACCAAAUCGUUCCAAUCCCUCAUCCUGGAGAGGGGCAUGUGGUGGUUGUCAUUUGAUGAUUCUCUAGAAAAACUGAAUGCCAGAGUUUUUGCUUUUACAAGAAAUAUAUUAUUCUAUCAUUCGUAAAAAACUAUCGACAAACUCCACCCUUAUUAAAUUCUUACUGCAGCUUCAAAGAGUGGUGGACCGAUACCGUGGAUAUAAUAUGUAAUGAGAAGAGAGAAAAAAACAUCUUAAUCUCGAAGAAAUAUAUUAUCAAUUCGACAGGGAAAUUUUGUUACGAUAACAAUUCUGAUAUACGAUAACAAUUCAACAUACAAAGACAUCCUCUAACAUCAAUAAAAGCUCAUUUUAAUUUGCACCCUAAAAAUUAGUUUUUUAUCCUUGCAAACAAAUUUUGGAUAAAGAAGUUGUCGAAACAAAUAACACUGUAAAGAAAAAAAAAUGAAAAUUGAAAAGAAAAAUGAUGUCAUCCGAUAAAGGUUGAAAAUUACAUCUCUAAUAACUGGGUAUUUCCUGUCUUCAACUGUUUGUGCAACUAUUUCAAAGAUGCGUAUAAUAUACUUUAAAUUCACAUGUUUUUUAUUCUUGUGAGCAAAUUAACUGAUGCUUUGAAAAGCAUUUAUUAAUACUUUCAUUAUUGCAUCAUCAAAUCGACGAUCAUCUUCCAGUUCCGGAAUGUGAGAGCAAAACAACCAAUUCUCAGGAAGCAUUUAUGUUUCCUGCUAAAUCGCAACUUUUUCUGCUAUGGCGAUUGACUUUACUUUCUUUCCACUGCUUUAUGAACAUUAUGAGUGAUUCUAAAUUCGAUUUAUGACUAAAAAGACAAUUAUUACAAAGUGCAAAAUAGUAGUAGAACAUUGUAACUUUCAACUCUUGCGUCUUUAUAUUUUAGUUAUGCAACUUGUGACAUUUUUUUCUCUUCGACUAAAAAUAUCGUAUUCUGUGCUUUUUUGAAUAAUAAUACUUCUCUCCCACAAAAGAAAAGGGAGGACCCCUCAUCACAUGCAUCCAGACGCUUGCCUAUUUUAUGAGCUGGUAUGCUAGUGCUUUGUGGUCAAGCAGCAAAAGUGUGUCAGUUUUUUUCCCCCUCUUUAAGUCGCACCGAUUAAUUAUUUUCGAAUACUCUAAAUGUAAGAUAAAUUGAUAUUUAAAACUAUUAAUCAUGUUUCAUAAUAUAUGACUUAAAUAUUUGGGUAAUUUAUGCCAAUAAAUAGCGAUUUUAAAUGUUUAGGAAUUAUUUAGUUUCAAAUCAAAUGUUACUUCUUUGUCGACUUUGGAUGUAUUUUAUGCAUAAUAUUUUUGUAGUCCAGAACCUAAAACGGCAAUGAAAAAUAAAUA